rnacentral:rRNA from 1 species
AGAGUUUGAUCAUGGCUCAGGACGAACGCUGGCGGCGUGCUUAACACAUGCAAGUUGAACGAAGCAACCGGAGUUAGUUUACUAUCACUGGUUGACUUAGUAGCGGACGGGUGAGUAACGCGUGAGUAACCUACCUUUGUGAGGGGGACAACAUUGGGAAACCGAUGCUAAUACCGCAUAAGGCCACGGCUUUGAGUGAAGCAGUGGUAAAAGAUUUAUCGCACAAAGAUGGACUCGCGUCCCAUUAGCUAGUUGGUAAGGUAACGGCUUACCAAGGCGACGAUGGGUAGCCGACCUGAGAGGGUGAUCGGCCACACUGGAACUGAGACACGGUCCAGACUCCUACGGGAGGCAGCAGUGGGGAAUAUUGGGCAAUGGGCGCAAGCCUGACCCAGCAACGCCGCGUGAGGGAAGAAUGUCUUCGGAUUGUAAACCUCUGUCCUUGGGGACGAAAAAAAUGACGGUACCCGAGGAGGAAGCUCCGGCUAACUACGUGCCAGCAGCCGCGGUAAUACGUAGGGAGCAAGCGUUGUCCGGAAUUAUUGGGCGUAAAGGGUGCGUAGGCGGUAAUCCAAGUCAGAUGUGAAAUCCCCGGGCUUAACUCGGGACGUGCAUUUGAAACUGGAUCACUUGAGUAAAGAAGAGGUAAGUGGAAUUCCUAGUGUAGCGGUGAGAUGCGUAGAUAUUAGGAGGAACACCAGUGGCGAAGGCGACUUACUGGUCUUUUACUGACGCUGAUGCACGAAAGCGUGGGGAGCAAACAGGAUUAGAUACCCUGGUAGUCCACGCUGUAAACGAUGGAUACUAGGUGUGGGGGACAUACAACCUCUGUGCCGGAGCUAACGCAUUAAGUAUCCCGCCUGGGGAGUACGGUCGCAAGGCUGAAACUCAAAGGAAUUGACGGGGGCCCGCACAAGCAGCGGAGCAUGUGGUUUAAUUCGAAGCAACGCGAAGAACCUUACCAAGGCUUGACAUCCUCUGACAACCAUAGAAAUGUGGCUUCCCUUCGGGGCAGAGUGACAGGUGGUGCAUGGUUGUCGUCAGCUCGUGUCGUGAGACGUUGGGUUAAGUCCCGCAACGAGCGCAACCCUUAUCAUUAGUUGCCAGCACUUUGGGUGGGAACUCUAAUGAGACUGCCGGGGAUAACUCGGAGGAAGGUGGGGACGACGUCAAAUCAUCAUGCCCCUUAUGUCCUGGGCUACACACGUGCUACAAUGGCCGGUACAAAGGGCAGCGAACCCGCAAGGGGAAGCGAAUCUCAAAAAGCCGGCCCCAGUUCGGAUCGUGGGCUGCAACCCGCCCGCGUGAAGCCGGAGUUGCUAGUAAUCGCGAAUCAGCAUGUCGCGGUGAAUGCGUUCCCGGGCCUUGUACACACCGCCCGUCACACCACGGAAGUUGGGAGCACCCGAAGCCAGUGGGCUAACCAUUUAUGGAGGCAGCUGUCGAAGGUGAGAUCAAUGACUGGGGUGAAGUCGUAACAAGGUAACC